CCUACGGGAGGCAGCAGUAGGGAAUAUUGCUCAAUGGGGGAAACCCUGACGCAGCAACGCCGCGUGGGGGAUGAAGGUUUUCGGAUUGUAAACUCCUUUUGUUAGAGAAGAUAAUGACGGUAUCUAACGAAUAAGCACCGGCUAACUCCGUACCAGCAGCCGCGGUAAUACGGAGGGUGCAAGCGUUAGUCGGAAUCACUGGGCGUAAAGUGGGCGUAGGCGGGAUAGCAAGUCAGAUGGGAAAGCCUAUGGCUUAACCAUAGAACUGCAUUGGAAACUGUUAGUCUAGAGUGUGGGAGAGGUAGGUGGAAUUCUUGGUGUAGGGGUAAAAUCCGUAGAGAUAAAGAGGAAUACUCAUUGCGAAGGCGACCUGCUAGAACAUAACUGACGCUGAUGCGCGAAAGCGUGGGGAGCAAACAGGAUUAGAUACCCGGGUAGUC
rnacentral:rRNA from 1 species